rnacentral:rRNA from 1 species
CCCUUUGGGGUGUGACUGCGUACCUUUUGUAUAAUGGGUCAGCGACUUAUAUUCUGUAGCAAGGUUAACCGUAUAGGGGAGCCGGAGGGAAACCGAGUCUUAAUUGGGCGUUAAGUUGCAGGGUAUAGACCCGAAACCCGGUGAUCUAGCCAUGGGCAGGUUGAAGGUUGGGUAACACUAACUGGAGGACCGAACCGACUAAUGUUGAAAAAUUAGCGGAUGACCUGUGGCUGGGGGUGAAAGGCCAAUCAAACCGGGAGAUAGCUGGUUCUCCCCGAAAGCUAUUUAGGUAGCGCCUCGUGAAUUCAUCUCCGGGGGUAGAGCACUGUUUCGGCUAGGGGGCCAUCCCGGCUUACCAACCCGAUGCAAACUGCGAAUACCGGAGAAUGUUAUCACGGGAGACACACGGCGGGUGCUAACGUCCGUCGUGAAGAGGGAAACAACCCAGACCGCCAGCUAAGGUCCCAAAGUCAUGGUUAAGUGGGAAACGAUGUGGGAAGGCCCAGACAGCCAGGAUGUUGGCUUAGAAGCAGCCAUCAUUUAAAGAAAGCGUAAUAGCUCACUGGUCGAGUCGGCCUGCGCGGAAGAUGUAACGGGGCUAAACCAUGCACCGAAGCUGCGGCAGCGACACUCAGGUGUUGUUGGGUAGGGGAGCGUUCUGUAAGCCUGUGAAGGUGGCCUGUGAGGGUUGCUGGAGGUAUCAGAAGUGCGAAUGCUGACAUAAGUAACGAUAAAGCGGGUGAAAAGCCCGCUCGCCGGAAGACCAAGGGUUCCUGUCCAACGUUAAUCGGGGCAGGGUGAGUCGACCCCUAAGGCGAGGCCGAAAGGCGUAGUCGAUGGGAAACGGGUUAAUAUUCCCGUACUUGGUGUUACUGCGAAGGGGGGACGGAGAAGGCUAUGUUGGCCGGGCGA